rnacentral:rRNA from 1 species
AGCCAGACUCCUACGGGAGGCAGCAGUGGGGAAUCUUCCGCAAUGGGCGAAAGCCUGACGGAGCAACGCCGCGUGAUCGAAUGAAGGCCUUCGGGUUGUAAAGAUCUGUUGACAGGGACGAAUAAGCCAUGCGAAUAGUUUGGUGUAUGACGGUACCUGUUUAGAAAGCUCCGGCUAACUACGUGCCAGCAGCCGCGGUAAUACGUAGGGAGCGAGCGUUGUCCGGAAUUACUGGGUGUAAAGGGAGCGUAGGCGGGCUUGUAAGUUGAAUGUCUAAUCCACCGGCUCAACCGGUGAUCGCGUUCAAAACUGCAGGUCUUGAGUGAAGUAGAGGCAGGCGGAAUUCCUAGUGUAGCGGUGAAAUGCGUAGAUAUUAGGAGGAACACCAGUGGCGAAGGCGGCCUGCUGGGCUUUAACUGACGCUGAGGCUCGAAAGCGUGGGGAGCAAACAGGAUUAGAUACCCUGGUAU